GGGCUCACACAAGCGGUGGAGGAUGUGGCUUAAUUCGAGGCUACGCGAAGAACCUUAUCCUGGUCUUGACAUGCUUAAGAACCCUCUCGAAAGAGAGGGGUGCCCUUCGGGGAGCUUUUGCACAGGUGCUGCAUGGCUGUCGUCAGCUCGUGUCGUGAGAUGUCGGGUUAAGUCCCUUAACGAGCGAAACCCUUAUUUCUAGUUGCCAGCGGGUCAUGCCGGGGACUCUAGAGAGACUGCCGGUGUUAAACCGGAGGAAGGCGGGGAUGACGUCAAGUCCUCAUGGCCUUUAUGAUCAGGGCUGCACACGUCCUACAAUGCGUCGCACAAAGGGAUGCAAACUCGCGAGAGCAAGCAAAUCCCAAAAAACGGCGCUCAGUUCGGAUUGCAGGCUGCAACUCGCCUGCAUGAAGCUGGAAUCGCUAGUAAUCGCGGGUCAGCAUACCGCGGUGAAUGUGUUCCUGAGCCUU
rnacentral:rRNA from 1 species